rnacentral:rRNA from 1 species
ACUCCUACGGGAGGCAGCAGUGGGGAAUAUUGCACAAUGGGCGCAAGCCUGAUGCAGCCAUGCCGCGUGUAUGAAGAAGGCCUUCGGGUUGUAAAGUACUUUCAGCAGUGAGGAAGGUGGGUAUGUUAAUAGCAUACUCAUUUGACGUUAGCUGCAGAAGAAGCACCGGCUAACUCCGUGCCAGCAGCCGCGGUAAUACGGAGGGUGCGAGCGUUAAUCGGAAUUACUGGGCGUAAAGCGCAUGCAGGUGGUUUGUUAAGUCAGAUGUGAAAGCCCGGGGCUCAACCUCGGAAUUGCAUUUGAAACUGGCAAACUAGAGUACUGUAGAGGGGGGUAGAAUUUCAGGUGUAGCGGUGAAAUGCGUAGAGAUCUGAAGGAAUACCGGUGGCGAAGGCGGCCCCCUGGACAGAUACUGACACUCAGAUGCGAAAGCGUGGGGAGCAAACAGGAUUAGAUACCCUGGUAGCGUAG